rnacentral:lncRNA from 1 species
GGGGAUGUCAUAGACACUCCUCUCCUUUGAUCUCCAUCAAGAUCUACACAUGGGGAGCAGAGAGAGGAGUGUAAGAGUCAUACCUGUCAUAGCUGCUUGGCUUCAGACUCCAUCAUCGAGGUGAAGCUCUUUAUUGAUAAUUGGCCGACUUGAUUCGAUCGAAGCUCCACUCUUCUUUUGUUUCUUCUUUUGAUUUUUUUCUUCUGUCUGUCGUCGGUCAAAAGUAGCUUCAUCUGUGCAGAUGUAUUUGUAUGCACAUUCUAGAAGUUCAGCAUAGGACUGGGAG